rnacentral:rRNA from 1 species
UACGGGGGGUGCGAGCGUUGUCCGGAAUCACUGGGCGUAAAGGGCGCGUAGGUGGUUUGAUAAGGGUGUGGUGAAAGCCCGGGGCUCAACCCCGGGUCUGCCGUGCCGACUGUCAAACUCGAGGGCUGUAGAGGCAGACGGAAUUCCGGGUGUAGCGGUGGAAUGCGUAGAGAUCCGGAGGAAGACCGGUGGCGAAGGCGGUUAGCUGGGCAGUUGCUGACACUGAGGCGCGACAGCGUGGGGAGCAAACAGG